rnacentral:lncRNA from 1 species
CACCUCAUGCAGAAAGGUUCCUCAUGCCCCAAACUUUCUCUCCAAAAUUUUUUUUAAAACAACAUCGAACGUGUCUUAUCCGCGUGAGAGGAUAAAAAUAAGUGGUUGCACAUUUAAAUUCAAAUGCAAACCAACUCAUCCCUAUCCACUUAUGGAAUGAGAAGAGAUGGGCGUGGACUCUUUGUGCAUGGAAAGGUUUCACGAGAAACUUUUUCUCGUGUAAGUUAUGUGGCACACAAGAUGGAUAAGCAUGAAGGCACAAAAGAUAACUUAUCCAUUCAAAUUCAAACACGCUUUGAAUUUGAAUGGUUAACUAAUCAACUUUAUCCAUCCAUAUGGCACACAAAAGUGGGUGUGGGGAAGGCUUUGUGUGAGAAAAAAUUAUCAAGAAAUUCCUUCUCGUGAAUUCAAAUGGGCACAGUGG